rnacentral:lncRNA from 1 species
CCUGAAUUAGAAAUAAAUAAACAUUAGGGUUCAUCUCAUCCAAUACAUAAAAAUAAUUAGCCUAGCAUGCUAUUGAAAUUAAACAAUAAUAGUGGAACAACAUCACCAAAAAUUGAUAGAACAUGAAUAACUCCAAUAGUGUGUGCCAACUUCCACUCUGUGCAGUCGUUUCUCCAAUCCCAACCGGCUUUUUGUGCGUGUAUAUAUGAUACAAUUCAGCAGCCACAAUGUUUAUCUCCCAACAGAUGCCGAUCUCUUGUAAUUUGUAUAAUGAAAUUCAACAGCCAAAUCCAAACUGCCAUUUUUUUAACUUGUCUUCCCAAUCCCAGGCAGCCGUCGGCGUGUUUAUGUAUGUGUCUUUAAACCUCCACCAGGUUCUACCUCCAAUCUGCGUGAAUAUAUAUAUAUUAUAAUAACAGCUCAAUUCUCUCCUCUCUACUCGUGUUUUCUCCAAUCUGCUGGCACCAAUGUGUAAAUAUAAAUAAUAGAAUUCAGCCCCAGCCGGCAGCCCCUCAAUGUAUGUGAAAAUUAUUAUAAUGGCUGCCUCCCUUGUUU